AUGUGCGCCCGCUCGCGACGUCCACGUCGGACUAGCUACCAGACAAAAAAAUUCGUUUUGUUGAGAAGAAACAGAGAAAGAGAUUGGCCAGCUCCCAGCCCCCAGACCCCACAGGCAAGCGUCCUCUCUCUUCUCUAUCAUGAGCCCUCUCUUACCCCGCAAAUCCUCGCCGCCGCCGCCAUUCACGCCGGCCGAUUCCGGCGAGUUCCGACGGCGGGUGGUAGACUGACAACCUCCCCUUGCUCUCCUCCUUCCUCCCAUCCCUCCAGAUCUGGCCUCCCGCGCUCGCUGCCGAUCCUCAUUCAUGGCUAG
rnacentral:rRNA from 1 species